GUCCUGGCCGUAAACGAUGGGCACUAGGUGUGGGAGGUAUCGACCCCUUCCGUGCCGCAGCUAACGCAUUAAGUGCCCCGCCUGGGGAUUACGGCCGCAAGGUUGAAACUCAAAGGAAUUGACGGGGGCCCGCACAAGCGGUGGAGCAUGUGGUUUAAUUCGACGCAACGCGAAGAACCUUACCGGGGCUUGAACUGCAGAGGACGGCCCUAGAAAUAGGGAGUUCCCGCAAGGGAUCUCUGUAGAGGUGCUGCAUGGCUGUCGU
rnacentral:rRNA from 1 species